CCGGGCCAACGCGCGGUUAAUGUCCAGGAGAGUGGCCCUCCGCAUGGAGGGUUGACUAGAGAUUUAUCGGUAUGGGAUGAGCUUGCGUCCGAUUAGCUAGUUGGCGGGGCAACGGCCCACCAAGGCGGCGAUCGGUAGCCGGCCUGAGAGGGUGAUCGGCCACAUUGGGACUGAGAUACGGCCCAGACUCCUACGGGAGGCAGCAGUAGGGAAUAUUGCACAGUGGGGGAAACCCUGAUGCAGCAACGCCACGUGUUGGAAGAAGCAUUUCGGUGUGUAAACCACUGUCAUGAGGGAGUAAGGCCCGCCUCCGGGCGGGAUUGAAUGUACCUUGAGAGGAAGCACCGGCAAACUUCGUGCCAGCAGCCGCGGUAAUACGAGGGGUGCAAGCGUUGUUCGGAAUUACUGGGCGUAAAGGGAGCGUAGGCGGAGAUUCAAGCGGAUUGUACAAUCCCGGGGCCCAACCCCGGCUCUGCAGUCCGAACUGGAUCUCUUGGAUAGUUCAGGGGCAGGCGGAAUUCCUGGUGUAGCGGCGGAAUGCGUAGAGAUCAGGAAGAACACCGAUGGCGAAGGCAGCCUGCUGGGGACUUAUCGACGCUGAGGCUCGAAAGUGCGGGUAGCAAACAGGAUUAGAUACCCUGGUAGUCCGCACCGUAAACAAUGCAUACUGGGUGUCCGGGGGUUCCCCCGGGUACCGUAGCCAACGCGUUGAGUAUGCCGCCUGGGGAGUACGUACGCAAGUAUGAAACUCAAAGGAAUUGACGGGGGCCCGCACAAGCGGUGGAGCAUGUGGUUUAAUUCGAAGCAACGCGCAGAACCUUACCAGGGUUUGACAUGGAAUCGCCGCGGCG
rnacentral:rRNA from 1 species